GCGAAAGGGGAUUUUUGCAGUAGUCGCUAGAAAUCUCUGGAAGGCCCUCCCUGCGAAGACUAGUUUCCGUAGCGACCAGCUGAUGUCAUGGUGGAGGACGGCCCCCGGUUGGUGACCUCGAAAAGGGUCGUGCUUACAUCAGAGGAGGAUGAGGAGACGGAACCCAACACACUGCUGCAGAAACUCAAGAGCAAUAUCUCGAAGAAUGUACAGACUAAAGUGGAUUCGAUUCUGGCAAG